UCCCCUUCCCAUCGUAACCUGGCAAAACUUUUGAAUUCCCUGCAGCUCUGCCUUCAUGGGGAACACGUGACAUUAGGUAGGGUAGGGGUUGGAAUUAGUUAGAUGCCUCGGAUACCUCAUAAACCCCUACAGUGACCUGGCGCUUCCUUACCCUUCAACUGUUCCAAAUCUCAGGUUCCCCGAACUUCAAGGCAUGGGCGUGGGCAGAACGGGCCUUUCCCCUAGGCGUUGGGCUUUGGGGCUAUGCAGGCCUGUGGGGCCUUGGCGUGUCCAAACCUCCUGCAUUUUGUCCUGUGUGUCGGGGGUCCCCUGCAAUACGAUCUGAAAUGGGGACUACCAAGGCGGCGACAAUCAGUCUGCUUUGGAACCUUCAUGCAAACUACACAAAAGAUAUAAAAUAAGACAGGUUAUCUUAUGAACGGAUAAACAAAAAUGCUGGAUUUACCUGUGUGAAUGUGCCACAUUCUUCAGAGCACUUGAAAAUGGCUGGAAAGGUAAAGCAAGUAAACACGCUCUUCUGAGA